rnacentral:rRNA from 1 species
AACGAACGCUGGCGGCAUGCCUAACACAUGCAAGUCGAACGAGACCUUCGGGUCUAGUGGCGCACGGGUGCGUAACGCGUGGGAACCUGCCUUUAGGUUCGGAAUAACUCAGAGAAAUUUGAGCUAAUACCGGAUAAUGUCUUCGGACCAAAGAUUUAUCGCCUUUAGAUGGGCCCGCGUUGGAUUAGCUAGUUGGUGGGGUAAAGGCCUACCAAGGCGACGAUCCAUAGCUGGUCUGAGAGGAUGAUCAGCCACACUGGGACUGAGACACGGCCCAGACUCCUACGGGAGGCAGCAGUGGGGAAUAUUGGACAAUGGGCGAAAGCCUGAUCCAGCAAUGCCGCGUGAGUGAUGAAGGCUCGGUGUAAGNUCUUUACUCGGUACGGAGUAAUAGA